GAUGAACGCUGGCGGCGUGCCUAACACAUGCAAGUCGAGCGAGGGUUUGCUCAGUAUUGAGUAUUCUAAGUCUAGAAUGUUCAAUUCUGAGCAAAACCAAGCGGCGGACGGGUGAGUAACGCGUGGGUAACCUGCCCUAUACACAUGGAUAACAUACUGAAAAGUUUACUAAUACAUGAUAAUAUAUAUUUGCGGCAUCGCAGAUAUAUCAAAGUGUUAGCGGUAUAGGAUGGACCCGCGUCUGAUUAGCUAGUUGGUGAGAUAACUGCCCACCAAGGCGACGAUCAGUAGCCGACCUGAGAGGGUGAUCGGCCACAUUGGAACUGAGACACGGUCCAAACUCCUACGGGAGGCAGCAGUGGGGAAUAUUGCACAAUGGGCGAAAGCCUGAUGCAGCAAUGCCGCGUGAACGGUGAAGGUCUUCGGAUCGUAAAGUUCUGUUGCAGGGGAAGAUAAUGACGGUACCCUGUGAGGAAGCCCCGGCUAACUACGUGCCAGCAGCCGCGGUAAUACGUAGGGGGCUAGCGUUAUCCGGAUUUACUGGGCGUAAAGGGUGCGUAGGUGGUCCUUCAAGUCGGUGGUUAAAGGCUACGGCUCAACCGUAGUAAGCCGCCGAAACUGGAGGACUUGAGUGCAGGAGAGGAAAGUGGAAUUCCCAGUGUAGCGGUGAAAUGCGUAGAUAUUGGGAGGAACACCAGUAGCGAAGGCGGCUUUCUGGACUGCAACUGACACUGAGGCACGAAAGCGUGGGUAGCAAACAGG
rnacentral:rRNA from 1 species